UGAGGAAUUUUGCGCAAUGGGGGAAACCCUGACGCAGCAACGCCGCGUGAGUGAAGAAGGCCCUUGGGUCGUAAAGCUCUGUCGACAGGGAAGAAAUUAUAAGUAUCCAAUAGGUGCUUAUAUUGACGGUACCUGUAGAGGAAGCACCGGCUAACUCCGUGCCAGCAGCCGCGGUAAUACGGGGGGUGCAAGCGUUAUUCGGAAUUAUUGGGCGUAAAGGGCGCGUAGGCGGUCUUGUCGGUCAGAUGUGAAAGCCCAGGGCUCAACCCUGGACGUGCAUUUGAAACAGCAAGACUUGAGUACGGGAGAGGAAAGCGGAAUUCCUGGUGUAGAGGUGAAAUUCGUAGAUAUCAGGAGGAACACCGAUGGCGAAGGCAGCUUUCUGGACCGAUACUGACGCUGAGGCGCGAAGGCGUGGGUAGCGAACA
rnacentral:rRNA from 1 species